rnacentral:rRNA from 1 species
GAUGAACGCUGGCGGCGUGCCUAAUACAUGCAAGUCGAGCGAACAGAUAAGGAGCUUGCUCCUUUGACGUUAGCGGCGGACGGGUGAGUAACACGUGGGUAACCUACCUAUAAGACUGGAAUAACUCCGGGAAACCGGGGCUAAUGCCGGAUAACAUUUAGAACCGCAUGGUUCUAAAGUGAAAGAUGGUUUUGCUAUCACUUAUAGAUGGCACCGCGCCGUAUUAGCUAGUUGGUAAGGUCACGGCUUACCAAGGCAACGAUACGUAGCCGACCUGAGAGGGUGAUCGGCCACACUGGAACUGAGACACGGUCCAGACUCCUACGGGAGGCAGCAGUAGGGAAUCUUCCGCAAUGGGCGAAAGCCUGACGGAGCAACGCCGCGUGAGUGAUGAAGGUCUUCGGAUCGUAAAACUCUGUUAUUAGGGAAGAACAAAUGUGUAAGUAACUGUGCACGUCUUGACGGUACCUAAUCAGAAAGCCACGGCUAACUACGUG